AGUGAACGCUGGCGGUAGGCCUAACACAUGCAAGUCGAACGGCAGCACAGUAAGAGCUUGCUCUUACGGGUGGCGAGUGGCGGACGGGUGAGGAAUACAUCGGAAUCUACUUUUUCGUGGGGGAUAACGUAGGGAAACUUACUCUAAUACCGCAUACGACCUACGGGGGAAAGCAGGGGAUCUUCUGACCUUGCGCGAUUGAAUGAGCCGAUGUCGGAUUAGCUAGUUGGCGGGGUAAAGGCCCACCAAGGCGACGAUCCGUAGCUGGUCUGAGAGGAUGAUCAGCCACACUGGAACUGAGACACGGUCAAGACUCCUACGGGAGGCAGCAGUGGGGAAUAUUGGACAAUGGGCGCAAGCCUGAUCCAGCCAUACCGCGUGGGUGAAGAAGGCCUUCGGGUUGUAAAGCCCUUUUGUUGGGAAAGAAAAGCAGCAGGUUAAUACCCCGCUGUUCUGACGGUACCCAAAGAAUAAGCACCGGCUAACUUCGUG
rnacentral:rRNA from 1 species